rnacentral:rRNA from 1 species
AGUUGUUGCAGUUAAAACGUCCGUAGUCGAACUUACGCCUUGUUGGCUGGGCAGCUGGUCAUUCAUUUGGCUAGAUUUGCCUCAGUCCGGGUGACAAAGUUUGGGUAUGAUCAUGUUGGCUUCGGUCGGCGUGGUUCUCUGCCCAAGCGUUUUACCAUGAGCAAAUCAGAAUGCCAAAGUAGGCCUUCGUGCCUGAAUGUGUUAGCAUGGAAUAAUAAAAUAGGACCUUAGUCUUGUUUGGUUGGUAUACUAGACCUUAGGAAAUGAUGAAUAGGAACGGUUGGGGGCAUUUGUAUUUGGUCGCUAGAGGUGAAAUUCUUGGAUUGACCGAAGACAAACUACUGCGAAAGCAUUUGACCUAGGACGUUUCCAUUGAUCAGGGACUAAAGUUGAGGGAUCGAAGACGAUUAGAUACCGUCGUAGUCUUAACCACAAACUAUGCCGACUAGCGAUUGGAUCCUCGCCACUGGCAGGAUUCAGCAGCUUAGCGAAAGUAAAGUUUUUGGGUUCUGGGGGGAGUAUGGGACGCAAGGCUGAAACUUAAAGGAAUUGACGGAAGGGCACCACCAGGAGUGGAGCCUGCGGCUUAAUUUGACUCAACACGGGGAAACUCACCAGGUCCAGACAUAAUAAGGAUUGACAGAUUGAAAGCUCUUUCUAGAUUUUAUGGGUGGUGGUGCAUGGCGUUCUUAGUUCGUGGAGUGAUUUGUCUGGUUAAUUCCGAUAACGAACGAGACCUUAUUCUGCUAAUUAGCUGGGCCAACUUUUUAGUUGGUGGUUUCUAGCCUCCGGGCUAGCCAGCUUCUUAGAGAGACUACUGAAUACAAUUCAGGGGAAGUUUUAGGCAAUAA